rnacentral:rRNA from 1 species
AGAGUUUGAUCCUGGCUCAGGACGAACGCUGGCGGCGCGCCUAACACAUGCAAGUUGAACGAGCGAGAGAGAGCUUGCUUUCUCGAGCGAGUGGCGAACGGGUGAGUAACGCGUGAGGAACCUGCCUCAAAGAGGGGGACAACAGUUGGAAACGACUGCUAACACCGCAUAAGCCCACGACCCGGCAUCGGGUAGAGGGAAAAGGAGCAAUCCGCUUUGAGAUGGCCUCGCGUCCGAUUAGCUAGUUGGUGAGGUAACGGCCCACCAAGGCAACGAUCGGUAGCCGGACUGAGAGGUUGAACGGCCACAUUGGGACUGAGACACGGCCCAGACUCCUACGGGAGGCAGCAGUGGGGGAUAUUGCACAAUGGGGGAAACCCUGAUGCAGCGACGCCGCGUGGAGGAAGAAGGUUUUCGGAUUGUAAACUCCUGUCGUUAGGGACGAUAAUGACGGUACCUAACAAGGAAGUGACGGCUAACUACGUGCCAGCAGCCGCGGUAAAACGUAGGUCACAAGCGUUGUCCGGAAUUACUGGGUGUAAAGGGAGCGCAGGCGGGAAGACAAGUUGGAAGUGAAAUCUAUGGGCUCAACCCAUAAACUGCUUUCAAAACUGUUUUUCUUGAGUAGUGCAGAGGUAGGCGGAAUUCCCGGUGUAGCGGUGGAAUGCGUAGAUAUCGGGAGGAACACCAGUGGCGAAGGCGGCCUACUGGGCUCCAACUGACGCUGAGGCUCGAAAGUGUGGGUAGCAAACAGGAUUAGAUACCCUGGUAGUCCACACCGUAAACGAUGAUUACUAGGUGUUGGAGGAUUGACCCCUUCAGUGCCGCAGUUAACACAAUAAGUAAUCCACCUGGGGAGUACGACCGCAAGGUUGAAACUC